GGUUCAUUCACACACAGACGCACAGAGGGACGCACGCACACAGCAGGUAGAAGCAGCUGUCUCUCUCCGGCUUUGCUACGUACCGCGCUGUAGCGGUCCACAGCUCUCUGCUGUUCUGGGUUCUACUCCUGGUUCUGCUGUUCUGACGUUCCGGCUCUUUGUUUACACCACGUUUUUUUUUUUGGGUGUUCUUCAGAUUUUGGAGAACUUUUCCUCUCCUGAGGACUGGACUGGAAACCAGGACACACAUCUGUUAGGGACUCUGGGGAAACUUCCAGAAGCUCUUCGCCUGCUCCAGUCUCUUUCAUGUGCGUUGAGGGCGGAGCCAUCCUUAUCUCUCCCGGCGCCAGACC
ensembl:lncRNA